ensembl:lncRNA
CUAAGUGUUUAGCUCUUUGAUCCAACUGGUAUUGCAACCAAGUUGCACACAAAUGUUGAAAAGUAUGUGAUUUUUGGAACAUAUGGUGUUUCGGCUGUGUUAGUGAGCAGAUUUAGUAAGCCUUCAGAGUGUAGCUGCUCUUAAUCAACUUUAAAAAUGUUGUAUUAAACAGUUGUCUGUUGGAUUAGACAAGACCUAAGACCAGAACACUCCUAGAAUAGAUCCUCCAUAGUUUGUUCUAAACAGAGGACAAGUUGAGUAGGCCUACCUUUGGCCAGAUUAUAGGGCCAUUUCCAAAGCCUGUAACCCCAUUCAUGUUUUCCAGAUUUCCUGAACUGAAAGCAAUGUUGCAUUAACAAGCGUAGACAUCACAACCCAAACAUUACAUUAAAAAGAGUUGAAUAGUUGUGCUUGUUUUCUAUCCUUUUAAAUUAUUUUUCUUAAACCUUUUUAGCUCUUGUACACUGGGUUAGUAGUCAUUUUCAUUUAGUAGGAUUGUCUAAAAAAGCAUUGCAUGGUAGACUCACUGUCAAGCUGGUAACAUUAAUAUCAAGGUUAAUAGCAGUAAUGAAGUGUAAUGGCUUGGAGUUUUUCCUUACCUUGAGACCUGACUGUGAAAACUUGGGGAAAUUAACUGGUCAGGAAGAAUACUUGGCCCAUGACAUUAUUAAGUGACUUUAUCCCAGUCACGGUCAAUUAGUGUUGCAGACUAGCAGUUAAAGAACCACAACACCCAGACUCUGAUUUUGAUGGGCACCAAUGGAAGCAAUGGGAUGAUUCACCAGCUUAUGGUUCAUUCUUAAGAGAUGGACAAGACAAUUCAAAUAAAUUAUAAAUCAAAAACACAUGGAUAAGCAUUUGUUACUACUGUCUGGAUGAAUGCCUACCUGAAUAUAGGAUAAUUAAAUUAUAGACCGAACCGCAAUGAAUUAAGUAGUGUAAAAAGAAAAUAACUACCUUCUUUCAUUGAACAACAAGGAAUUAGUCUUUCCUUGAUGAUACAUUCAUUGAAUAGCUGGGUUGAUUAUUUUACUUGUAAAGAGCAGACAACACAUUGGUUUGGAUGAAGGCAAGCUCAUUUGCCUUCUAGUCUAUUUGGUUCUGGUCCCACUGAAGGAUUAAGACCAGAACAAGAUGGAAACUGUCAUUUAAGUGACAUCAAAAUAAGGCUGUUUCUUAAUGUAUUUUUAUUGAGCAAUGACAAACAGAUGAACAAAAGUGUUGUUUUCUAUUAGCAGACGUUUUUGUGUAUUUUGGGGAUUUUUCUUUUCUGUAUUGGGAUCAUUUUAAUUUAUAAUAAAAUAUUGACAAUUGCUUCAGUGAUUAUUGAACAGAACACAUCUGUUUUAAUUAAUCAAUUAUUCAGAUGUUGCACUCAUUCAACAUACUUUUUAUAUCUACCAAGGGAGAACAGAAAAAAGUUUAACAUAAAACCUAAAAUGCAGUAGAAAAUAUGUUUCUUUGUCAGAGAAAAAAAACUAGUGACCAAUCCAGGAUCGGGGGCAUUUGCACAGUACACAUGAUUACAGUUCUAGCUCCAGUACAGCAACAAUUUCUAAAGAAGAAAAGGUACAUUAUGCAGAUUUACUGGCCCAUUAAACUAUGUUGUGUGCUGCAAUGUAUGCCUCAAUUCCUUCAUCUUUAUUCAUCGUUGCCACUGAGGACUGUAAAGGUAGCUAACCAAAAAAAAGGUUAUGCAUAGUACUUGGUGGUGGUUGUGUUGGCAUAAAUCACACAGAACAACGUUUUGCUUUUGGCUCAUUGAAUUCCCUUUGCAGAAACCAUCUUUCAACAGCAGAGUAUACAGUGAUGUGAAAAGUAAACCCCUUGCAAAGUAAUUUUUCUUACAUAUUUGGAAACUGGAUAUGCACUUAACAUCAACACUACUGACAUAUAAAUGUAACCAAAGUUAACAAAUUACACUGAAAGAUUAUACUUUGCAAUCAUUCAUCAAAAAUCAAU